rnacentral:rRNA from 1 species
AGCGAACGCUGGCGGCAGGCUUAACACAUGCAAGUCGAACGCAUCCUUCGGGGUGAGUGGCAGACGGGUGAGGAACACGUGGGAACAUCCCUUUCAGUUCGGAACAACGUUGGGAAACUAACGCUAAUACCGGAUACGUCCUUCGGGAGAAAGAUUUAUCGCUGAAAGAUUGGCCCGCGUCUGAUUAGCUAGUUGGUGAGGUAAUGGCUCACCAAGGCUACGAUCAGUAGCUGAUCUGAGAGGAUGAUCAGCCACAUUGGGACUGAGACACGGCCCAAACUCCUACGGGAGGCAGCAGUGGGGAAUAUUGGACAAUGGGCGCAAGCCUGAUCCAGCCAUGCCGCGUGAGUGAUGACGGCCUUCGGGUUGUAAAGCUCUUUUGUCCGGGAAGAUAAUGACUGUACCGGAAGAAUAAGCCCCGGCAAACUUCGUGCCAGCAGCCGCCGUAA